ACCAAAGAAAGAAAAUUUUAGUAAUACUUACUCAUCUCAACUAAUAAACUCUUUUCCACAACAUUUCAUUUCUAUUCAUGCAAAACAAAAUAUAUUAGAAAUUGAAACCAUGCAUGAAAUAUUUUAUAUAUUUUUUUGAGAAGAUGAAGUAUAUAUAGACUAUUCUGAUUUAAAAAAUGCAAUCUUAAUACUCAGCUAGAUUGUACAAUCGGAUCACAUUAAGCCAGAUACAACAGAGAACAACAUAUUUGUCUAAUUCAAACAAUUAGAUUUCAGUCUUAUUCUAAUUAAGGAAAACACAACUCAAAAGUAUUAACACUUUCCAACUAUUACAAUGACAAUCAAUUGUAAAUUUCUUAGAGUCAACCAUCAAACUUUGAUCCACAAUUUUCUCGAUUACGAUAACGUAGGAGCAAACAAUAAUUCCACCUGAUAACUGAAUUUUCUACCUGCCAACCGCAUCGGGAUAAGAAUGAAAAUCUCUCAAAAUCUCUAGCAUUUCCAUCAAUUUUAAGCAAACAAUUAUUUUUAGCAUCAGAUUAGUGAUUUACCAAAUAUGGAACACAUCUGUCAACAAUCAGAAACUAGUUAGAAGCUUUUUUAUAUGUUUAAUAUAUUUUCUUACUGAAAUUCUUUUUAUCUGAUAUGAUUAAGGCCUGCCUUUACAAAAGAAUGAUGUUACUUUAGACCAAGGAAGAAAAAAAUUGAAAGAUACUCCAAACUUCAUAAUCUGCAAGGGAGAGGGAAAGAGAGAUUUCUUAUCUGCAAGGGAGAGGAAAAGAGAGAUUUCUUACCUGAGUUGGAUUUGAGUUCUUAGUCUUGCUAUAAUAAUGGAAGCAGGCAACAGACGAAGUGACAGAAAAUAGGCGAUAGGGAUUAAGGAUGAGGAAAUUUGGGGAGGGCCGGCUGAAGAAAUUAGUUGUGCGUUGGUGACAAAGGAAGCGGGAGACAGAGUGGUCGUCAAAGUGGAGACUACUGUUAACGAGCAGCGGUGUUGGACGGGUAGAGGUGGUGAGCGACAAACAACCAGACACUUAGGGAUUUUUGUUUUAGAACUAAUUUGGGAAUAAGGGGGAGGGGAUGAGAGGUGGUAAACCUAAA
rnacentral:lncRNA from 1 species